rnacentral:rRNA from 1 species
AAUCAACGCUGGCGGCGUGCCUCAGACAUGCAAGUCGAACGCGAAAUUUCCCUUCGGGGGGAAAGUAGAGUGGCGCACGGGUGAGUAACACGUAGGUAAUUUGCCUUUGGGUGGGGAAUAACUCAGGGAAACUUGAGCUAAUACCGCAUAAUGCAGCGGCUCGACAUCGAGACAGUUGUUAAAGCGGGGGAUUGGAGCAAUCCGACCUCGCGCCUAAAGAGAAGCCUGCGGCAGAUUAGCUAGUUGGUAAGGUAAUGGCUUACCAAGGCACGAUCUGUAACCGGCCUGAGAGGGCGGUCGGUCACACUGACACUGACAUACGGGUCAGACUCCUACGGGAGGCAGCAGUCGGGAAUUUUGGGCAAUGGGCGCAAGCCUGACCCAGCAACG